UACGUAGGGGGCGAGCGUUGUCCGAAGUUACUGGGCGUAAAGCGCGUGUAGGCGGCCCGAUAAGUCCGCUGUGAAAGUCCAGGGCUCAACCCUGGGAUGCCGGUGGAUACUGUCGGGCUCGAGUCCGGAAGAGGCGAGUGGAAUUCCUGGUGUAGCGGUGAAAUGCGCAGAUAUCAGGAGGAACACCAAUGGCGAAGGCAGCUCGCUGGGACGUGACUGACGCUGAGACGCGAAAGCGUGGGGAGCAAACAGG
rnacentral:rRNA from 1 species